AACUUCCGUUAAUUGAUCAGGACGUGCUUGCACUGAAUGAGAUUUUAACACGAAGUGAGUGGCGGACGGGUGAGUAACACGUGGGUAACCUGCCCAGAAGCAGGGGAUAACACCUGGAAACAGAUGCUAAUACCGUAUAACAGAGAAAACCGCCUGGUUUUCUUUUAAAAGAUGGCUCUGCUAUCACUUCUGGAUGGACCCGCGGCGCAUUAGCUAGUUGGUGAGGUAACGGCUCACCAAGGCGAUGAUGCGUAGCCGACCUGAGAGGGUAAUCGGCCACAUUGGGACUGAGACACGGCCCAGACUCCUACGGGAGGCAGCAGUAGGGAAUCUUCCACAAUGGACGCAAGUCUGAUGGAGCAACGCCGCGUGAGUGAAGAAGGGUUUCGGCUCGUAAAGCUCUGUUGUUAAAGAAGAACGUGGGUGAGAGUAACUGUUCACCCAGUGACGGUAUUUAACCAGAAAGCCACGGCUAACUACGUGCCAGCAGCCGCGGUAAUACGUAGGUGGCAAGCGUUAUCCGGAUUUAUUGGGCGUAAAGCGAGCGCAGGCGGUCUUUUAAGUCUAAUGUGAAAGCCUUCGGCUCAACCGAAGAAGUGCAUUGGAAACUGGGAGACUUGAGUGCAGAAGAGGACAGUGGAACUCCAUGUGUAGCGGUGAAAUGCGUAGAUAUAUGGAAGAACACCAGUGGCGAAGGCGGCUGUCUGGUCUGUAACUGACGCUGAGGCUCGAAAGCAUGGGUAGCGAACAGGAUUAGAUACCCUGGUAGUCCAUGCCGUAAACGAUGAUUACUAAGUGUUGGAGGGUUUCCGCCCUUCAGUGCUGCAGCUAACGCAUUAAGUAAUCCGCCUGGGGAGUACGACCGCAAGGUUGAAACUCAAAAGAAUUGACGGGGGCCCGCACAAGCGGUGGAGCAUGUGGUUUAAUUCGAAGCUACGCGAAGAACCUUACCAGGUCUUGACAUCUUCUGCCAACCUAAGAGAUUAGGCGUUCCCUUCGGGGACAGAAUGACAGGUGGUGCAUGGUUGUCGUCAGCUCGUGUCGUGAGAUGUUGGGUUAAGUCCCGCAACGAGCGCAACCCUUAUUACUAGUUGCCAGCAUUCAGUUGGGCACUGUAGUGAGACUGCCGGUGACAAACCGGAGGAAGGUGGGGACGACGUCAAAUCAUCAUGCCCCUUAUGACCUGGGCUACACACGUGCUACAAUGGAUGGUA
rnacentral:rRNA from 1 species